UACGUAGGGCGCAAGCGUUGUCCGGAAUUAUUGGGCGUAAAGAGCUCGUAGGCGGCUUGUCACGUCGGGUGUGAAAGCCCGGGGCUUAACCCCGGGUCUGCAUUCGAUACGGGCUGGCUGGAGUGUGGUAGGGGAGAUCGGAAUUCCUGGUGUAGCGGUGAAAUGCACAGAUAUCGGGAGGAACACCGGUGGCGAAGGCGGUUCUCUGGGCCUGUACUGACGCUGAGGAGCGAAAGCGUGGGGAGCGAACAGG
rnacentral:rRNA from 1 species